rnacentral:rRNA from 1 species
UUCGCAAUGCCCGAAAGGGUGACGAAGCGACGCCGCGUGCGGGAAGAAGGCCUUUGGGUUGUAGACCGCUGUCGGGAGUUAAGAAAUGUAAGGAUGUUAAUAGCAUCUUUGCUUGACUAAGGCUCCGGAGGAAGCCACGGCUAACUCUGUGCCAGCAGCCGCGGUAAUACAGAGGCGGCAAGCGUUGUUCGGAAUUAUUGGGCGUAAAGAGCACGUAGGCGGCUAUGUAAGUCGGUUGUGAAAGCCUUCCGCUCAACGGGAGAACAGCAUCCGAUACUGCAUGGCUUGAGUGCGGGAGGGGAGAGUGGAACUUCUGGUGGAGCGGUGAAAUGCGUAGAUAUCAGAAGGAACGCCGGCGGCGAAAGCGGCUCUCUGGCCCAUAACUGACGCUGAGUGUGCGAAAGCUAGGGGAGCAAACGGGAUUAGAUACCCCGGUAGUCCUAGCCGUAAACGAUGGGCACUAAGUAGAGGGGUUUUA